CGGGGUGUAGCGCAGUUGGAAGCGCGCCGCGUUUGGGACGCGGAGGUCGGCGGUUCAAGUCCGCCCACCCCGACCA
rnacentral:tRNA from 1 species